GACGAACGCUGGCGGCGGGCUUAACACAUGCAAGUCGAACGGAAAGGCCCUGCUUUUGUGGGGUGCUCGAGUGGCGAACGGGUGAGUAACACGUGAGUAACCUGCCCUUGACUUUGGGAUAGCUUCAGGAAACUGGGGCUAAUACCGGAUAGGAGCUCCUGCUGCAUGGUGGGGGUUGGAAAGUUUCGGCGGUUGGGGAGGGACUCGCGGCUUAUCAGCUUGUUGGUGGGGUAGUGGCUUACCAAGGCUUUGACGGGUAGCCGGCCUGCGAGGGUGACCGGACACAUUAGGAUUGAGAUACGGCACAGACUCGUACGGGAGGCAGCAGUGGGGAAUAUUGCACAAUGCACGGAAGCCUGAUGCAGCAACGCCGCGUGCGGGAUGACGGCAUUCGGGUUGUAAAGCGCUUUCGCCUGUGACGGAGCGAGAGUGACGGUAAUGGGUAAAGAAGCACCGGCUAACUACGUG
rnacentral:rRNA from 1 species